UACAGAGGGUGCGAGCGUUGUCCGGAAUCACUGGGCGUAAAGGGCGCGUAGGUGGUGACCUAAGCGUGCGGUGAAAGCCCGAGGCUCAACCUCGGGUCGGCCGUGCGAACUGGGUCACUGGAGCAGAAUAGAGGCAGGUGGAAUUCCGGGUGUAGCGGUGGAAUGCGUAGAGAUCCGGAGGAACACCAGAGGCGAAGGCGGCCUACUGGGUCAGUACUGACGCUGAGCCGCGAAAGCCAGGGGAGCGAACGGG
rnacentral:rRNA from 1 species